rnacentral:lncRNA from 1 species
CAGCUCCAUCCCUCUACCCCUUUACAGGCCCAGCUCCAUCCCUCUACCCCUGUACAGGCCCAGCCCCAUCCCUCUACCCCUGUACAGGCCCAGCCCCAUCUCUCUACCCAUGUACAGGGCCCAUCCCAGAAUGCAUUAAUACAGUCAUCUCAUCCUCACCGUUUCUUGGCUGCAGUUCAGAAAGAACAAUCCUGUCUCUGAGAUCAUGUCAGAAUACAAAAGGAACUCAAAUAAACAGAACAUGUUAAAUGGCCCUAAAGCCUCCUUGCACCUCAUUGGGGAUUUCUCUGUUUUAUUGUUAACAUAUAAUUCUCUUUUAAAUGCUUUUCUAGGGAAGGGAAGAUAAUUAGAACCCUAUAACUAAUACAUGGGUUGUCUCAUUUCACAUCUGCAUGUCAUUAAAGCAUAGACUAUAAAGCAUUGACCAUAGAGAAGAGAAAAAAUGUACCAUGGUUGUAGAAAGCAUUAUAUUUUCAUAACAGAAUAUCGAACAGAAACAAAACAUACUUGGAAAAUAUGUAUUAAAAGAUAAACAGCAUGUAUAAUAUCCAUAUUUAGUUUGUAUAAAGUCAAAACAAGAUGGAAUACGUGGGGUAUAUUGGCUUUGUGCUAUUAUUACUCUAAGGGACACAUCUUACAACUUGAGACGUGCAUACAACGGAAGUAUUAUUAUGGGAGAUAUUUAUGAAUUCAAGUUGUGGGCUUCUUUCACAAGUUAGGAUUCAGGAUUCACCAUGAGUUUUUCCAACUAUAGUAUAGAAAGUCAGUGGUGGAGAAUCUCAUGCUCUGUCCAUUUGAUUCUUAAAAAGGUCAAAUUCCAGAAUAUUGGGUCAACUUUCUCCUCAGUCCAAUUCCAGAAUAUUGGGUAACUUUCUCCUCAGUUCAGGUAGAUGUACCUGUGUAUGUUCUGCAGUGCUCGGUCUCAUUCACAGUAAUCGAUGGAGUUGGUGAGCGGCCAAUCCGAGGAGUAGCACUGGGCAUGGGGAGCCAAUUGCUAAAGCCUGAAUAGAGGUCAGUAAAAGGUCAUUAGAACAUGAUAAGCUGCAGAAGGGAAGUGUUAUAAGAACAUUCUUCACUGGGGUUAGUGUUUGCAUGUUUCAUCGCUGUCUUGGCAAGUUUGCUCCUCAUGCAGAGACCUCCUGUCUCUGUGAAUGCUGGAACUACAGUAUGUGACACUUCGGCAUUAUUUACCCCUUGUGUUUACUGAAAUACAUUUUUCCUGCUCAAACGUGACAAAUCUAAAAUACGGACGCCCACAAAGAGACAUG